GCGGGCGUGGCGGAAUUGGCAGACGCGCCAGAUUUAGGUUCUGGUACCGCAAGGUGUGAAGGUUCAAGUCCUUUCGCCCGCACCA
rnacentral:tRNA from 1 species